UCGCGCCUGUAUCUUGCUGAAC
rnacentral:miRNA from 1 species